GUCUGUAUGAAGUUAAAUGGAGUCUGUUCUGCCCAUUGAGAAUGAAAAUGUCUUAAAAGGCCGCGGUAUACUAACUGUGCAAAGGUAGCAUAAUCAGUAGUUUUUUAAUUGAAGGCUUGUAUGAAUGAUUGGACAAGGAUAAAACUGUCUUUUUUCAAAAAGUUGAAUUUUAUUUUUAAGUGAAAAAGCUUAAAUAAGUCAGAGGGACGAUAAGACCCUAUAAAUCUUCAUGUUGAGUUUUCUAUAAACAAAAAUAUUAAAAGUGAAGAAAGGCUAUAGAAUAAAACAUUUGGCUGGGGUGGCAAUGAUAUAGAAAGAACUAUAAAUACAAAGAAAACAAAUAUAUUUGAAAUUAAAAGAUCCUAGAUAUAGAUUAAGAGAAUAAGUUACUUUAGGGAUAACAGCAUAAUUUCUUUGGAGAGUCCAAAUCGAAAAAGAAGUUUGUGACCUCGAUGUUGAAUUAAAAGAUCUCUGAGGUGCAGAAGUUCAGGGGAGAGUCUGUUCGACUUUUAAAAUUUUACAUGAUUUGA
rnacentral:rRNA from 1 species